rnacentral:rRNA from 1 species
UCUAGUGGCGGACGGGUGAGUAACGCGUGAGAAUUUACCUCUAGGAGGGGAACAACAGUUAGAAAUGACUGCUAAUGCCCCAUAUGCUUUAUAGUGAAACGGAUUCGUCCGCCUGGAGCAAAGCUCGCGUCUGAUUAGCUAGUUGGUAAGGUAAUAGCUUACCAAGGCGACGAUCAGUAGCUGGUUUGAGAGGAUGAUCAGCCACACUGGAACUGAGACACGGUCCAGACUCCUACGGGAGGCAGCAGUGGGGAAUUUUCUGCAAUGGGCGAAAGCCUGACAGAGCAAUACCGCGUGAGGGAUGAAGGCCUGUGGGUCGUAAACCUCUUUUUUCAAGGAGGAAGUUCUGACGUGUACUUGAAGAAUAAGCGUCGGCUAACUCCGUGCCA